ACGUUUGAUUGGGAAGUUAGGCGGGUCUGGUCAUCUCUCAAAAUAGCAACUAGGCCUACACGCGAGGGCGUUCCAUUCCCUGCCGCACCCGGAAAGCAGAACGGCAUACCAGAGGGCAAGAGUCAGGACUGCACUAGCUGCAUUGAUUUAAUCUGGAUGCAUUCUGGUAUUUGAGGACUGACCAGGACCACCAGACUCACACCCAAAGCACCGGCAUAGACAAUACAAGUGGAGUAGCAGGAGGACCCAAAAUUGAAGGCAACAGGACAGCGAAGGUGGUCACAGGAAGCGAGUGGGGAAAGAGAGACGGGGAAGGGCCGGCAAAGGACCCGGGCCAGGAAUCGAACCCGGGUCAGCAGCACAGCAAACGAGUGCCCCACUGCUUUGGGGCAUCAAAAUGCCCCAAAAUAAAAAAAUAAAAAAGAACAGGG